ACUCCUACGGGAGGCAGCAGUAGGGAAUCUUCGGCAAUGGGGGCAACCCUGACCGAGCAACGCCGCGUGAGUGAAGAAGGUUUUCGGAUCGUAAAACUCUGUUGUUAGAGAAGAACGUUAAGUAGAGUGGAAAAUUACUUAAGUGACGGUAUCUAACCAGAAAGGGACGGCUAACUACGUGCCAGCAGCCGCGGUAAUACGUAGGUCCCAAGCGUUGUCCGGAUUUAUUGGGCGUAAGCGAGCGCAGGUGGUUUCUUAAGUCUGAUGUAAAAGGCAGUGGCUCAACCAUUGUGUGCAUUGGAAACUGGGAGACUUGAGUGCAGGGAGAGGAGAGUGGAAUUCCAUGUGUAGCGGUGAAAUGCGUAGAUAUAUGGAGGAACACCGGAGGCGAAAGCGGCUCUCUGGCCUGUAACUGACACUGAGGCUCGAAAGCGUGGGAGCAAACAGGAUUAGAUACCCUGGUAGCGACUGA
rnacentral:rRNA from 1 species